rnacentral:rRNA from 1 species
CACGUAGGGCGCAAGCGUUGUCCGGAAUUAUUGGGCGUAAAGAGCUCGUAGGCGGACUGUCACGUCCGCGUGUGAAAAGCUGAGGGCUUAACCCUGCUGCAGUGGAUACGGGCAGACGUAGAGGUAGGUAGGGGAGAAUGGAAUUCCCGGUGUAGCGGUGAAAUGCGCAGAUAUCAGGAGGAACACCAAUUGCGAAGGCAGCUCGCUGGAACGUAACUGACGCUGAGACGACGAAAGCGUGGGGAGCAAACAGG